GCGCAGCAGGCGAGAAAACUUUGCAAUGUGCGAAAGCACGACAAGGUUAAUCCGAGUGAUUUCUGCUAAAGAAAUCUUUUGCAAGUCAUAAAACCACUAGUGAAUAAGGGGUGGGCAAGUUCUGGUGUCAGCCGCCGCGGUAAAACCAGCACCUCAAGUGGUCAGGAGGAUUAUUGGGCCUAAAGCAUCCGUAGCCGGCUCUGUAAGUUUUCGGUUAAAUCUGUACGCUCAACGUACAGGCUGCCGGGAAUACUGCAGAGCUAGGGAGUGGGAGAGGUAGACGGUACUCGGUAGGAAGGGGUAGAAUCCUUUGAUCUAUUGAUGACCACCUGUGGCGAAGGCGGUCUACCAGAACACGUCCGACGGUGAGGGAUGAAAGCUGGGGGGAGCAAACCGGAUUAGAUACCCGGGUAGUCCCAGCUGUAAACUAUGCAAACUCAGUGAUGCAUUGGCUUGUGGCCAAUGCAGUGCUGCAGGGAAGCCGUUAAGUUUGCCGCCUGGGAAGUACGUACGCAAGUAUGAAACUUAAAGGAAUUGGCGGGGGAGCACCACAAGGGGUGAAGCCUGCGGUUCAAUUGGAGUCAACGCCAGAAAUCUUACCCGGAGAGACAGCAGAAUGAAGGUCAAGCUGAAGACUUUACCAGACAAGCUGAGAGGUGGUGCAUGGCCGUCGCCAGCUCGUGCCGUGAGAUGUCCUGUUAAGUCAGGUAACGAGCGAGAUCCCUGCCUCUAGUUGCCACCAUUACUCUCAGGAGUAGUGGGGCGAAUUAGCGGGACCGCCGCAGUUAAUGCGGAGGAAGGAAGGGGCCACGGCAGGUCAGUAUGCCCCGAAACUCUGGGGCCACACGCGGGCUGCAAUGGUAACGACAAUUGGUUUCAAAUCCGAAAGGAUGAGGUAAUCCUCAAACAUUACCACAGUUAUGACUGAGGGCUGCAACUCGCCCUCACGAAUAUGGAAUCCCUAGUAACUGCGUGUCAUUAUCGCGCGGUGAAUACGUCCCUGCUCCUUGCACACACCGCCCGUCGUUUCAUUGAAGUGAGCUUUUAGCGAGGUGACGUCUGAUUGGCGUUAUCGAACUUGAGGUUCGUGACAAGGGAAAAGUCGUAACAAGGUAACC
rnacentral:rRNA from 1 species